CCUACGGGUGGCAGCAGUGGGGAAUAUUGGACAAUGGGGGAAACCCUGAUCCAGCGACGCCGCGUGAGUGCAGAAGUAUGUCGGUACGUAAAGCUCUAUCAGCAGGAAAGAGAAUGACGGUACCUGACUAAGAAGCCCUGGCUCAUUACGUGCCAGCAGACGCGGUAAUACGUAGGGGGCAAGCGUUAUCCGGAUUUACGGGGUGUAAAGGGAGCGUAGACGGCAGCGCAAGACUGGAGUGAAAUGCCCGGGCCCAACCCCGGAACUGCGCUGGCAACGGGGGAGCUUGAGUGCAGGCGAGGUAGGCGGAAUUCGUGGUGGAGCGGUGAAAUGCUUAGAUAUGAGGAAGAACACCGGCGGCGAAGGCAGCUGACUGGACUGUAACUGACGUUGAGGCUCGAAGGCGUGGGGAGCGAACAGGAUUAGAUACCCUAGUAGUC
rnacentral:rRNA from 1 species